UUAGUACUCCCUCCGUCUCAAAAUUCUUAUUUUAAAUUUGUCUAAAUACGGAUGUAUCAAGUCACGUUUUAAUAUACAUCCGUAUUUAGACAAAUCUAAGACAAGAAUUUUGGUAAGGAGGAAGUACGUA
rfam:Triticum urartu cultivar G1812 contig122925, whole genome shotgun sequence.